AGUCCAUGGUGUGGGCAUCUUUGUAUCAGUAUUUUAAAUUUUUCCCAUGCUUCAUGAAAACUUUCCCCUUCUAACUGCUUGAAGGUGGCAAUCUCUCUUCUCAGUUG
rfam:Gossypium raimondii chromosome 9, whole genome shotgun sequence.